UGGGAACUGAGGCACCGAGAUGUUAAUUACUUGUGGAAGGCCCCACAGCUAUUAAGUGGCAGAGCGGGAUCUGAACCGAGGAAAGGAAGGACAAACCCAGCCUGCCCCAUGGAGGCAGCCCUGUCAGUGUAUUACUCUGAGGAGCAGAGUGUAUUCUCUCUGAGGCAGGAAGAUUCCAAUGAGAAAACGAAGAGAAAGAGACCAGUUACUGUGUUCCCAAACUCACAAGUCGGGUGCAAAGAUGGAAGAUGGGGAAGGUGACAUCCCUUUGCUGAGGUCAUGUGGCUGGUUAGGGCCUGAGUCAAGAUUCCACACCUUGAUUGUCUGACUUCAAGGCCUGUACUCUGCCCACGAUGCUGUCCUGCCUCCUUGUGAAGUGAAUUUUACUUACGAGGUGUUAUUCUUAGUGAACCGACAACAGGUGUCCACCUCCAACCCUUUGGGACCAGAAUCAGGAGGUGAGACCCAGGAGAGGACAGAACCCCCGACCCUGGGAGCAGCUCGCUAGACAGGGCUGGAGACCCCAUCAGAGGAGCAGGGACCAGAUAAUUAAUCAGUCUGACAAAUGGCUGCGUACGAGAAAGGAGGCAGCCGUGAAUCGGGAGGCCAGAAAAGCAGGGGACCAUUGGUGCCAAUGUCGAUUUGACUGAAGCAGGAAGACAGCUGGAAAGAGAACAGGAGGCAGAGGCAAUGGGAUGGGCUAAAUGUCCUGAUCCCUGUUAACCUUUCACGUGUCCUUGGAGAUGUCCACAGCCAGGGGAGAGCCACCUCCAUGUACCACAGGCACCGGGCACAGAGGAGACACCCCUGGAAGUUCGGCUGGGCAAGGAGGAAGCCACAACCACCCUGGGGACACGAGCCAUCGGAAAGGGAGCUGGCUGCUCCCCUCCACCUGCAGAGCAGCCCAGCUCAGCUCCUUCCACAUGCGGACGCUGCUGGGGGCUGGAUGGCGGGGACGAUGAAUGGCAUUGGUCUACUGUCACUGUCUUGCUGGAACCUCAUUUUAUGUUUUAACCUGAUUGGGGAAAAAACCUCUCAGUGAAUGUGCCGGUCCUGGGUUUUCCGAGCAGAUGUGGGGGUGGCAGUAGGGCAGGGGAGGACAGGUGCUGUGGGGGUGGCCACAGACAGGGCAGCAGCCCCACCUCCCCGCACCCGCCCCGGUCUCAGCAGACGUGCAGGAAGAGCCAGACCUGCAGUCUCUGUGCCCCCCAAAUGCCAUCACCACGAGAGAACAGUAAUUUCCCACAGGAAAUUAGGUUUUAUGGCUUCAAGCUUGCAUGCGCUUUCUGCAUUCUUUUUUUUUUAGCGACAUUUUCUCAUCUUCGUACUUUGUUAGCGUUAUGGAACCAGCCACUGAUGUGAAACAGAGCUGCCAAACAUAAUACAGAAUUCUGUAUAAGUCAGAAAAUCGAAACUCCUUGUCACCGCGUGGGGCCCAAUUUCAGGCACUCUCAUGUCGCGUGCGGCUGCGCUUCAAGCUCUGUCGCCGCUGCAGAUCCGCAUCGCAUGCAUAUCAUGCAGUCGCUGUGAUAGUGUCACUGUCCCCCUGCUUUUUCCAGUGGCGUUGGUGCUGCAUGGUGAUGCGGUGUCAGAGCCUGGCUCACCGAAAGCCCCGGGGGCUUGAUGUCAGCUGUGAGCUCACCCGCCUGGCCCCUGAGCAGCCGCUCGGAGUGCAGAAGGGCUGUGGGAAUGGGGCGAAGGGUCCCCGGCCUCCAGGGCACUGGGACCUAGGCGCGGGGAGGGGGAUUGUUCUAAAAAGCUUCAUGGGGAGCUGUGAAGCAGGCAGGGAAGUUAAGGGCCCUUUCUUGAACAACUGCCAACUUUUUGGUACCAAUUGAACACAAAGGUGUAUUGCCAUUUUCCUGGAGAAAGGGACCUUAAAAUGGAAUGAUACUUUCGUUUCUAAUUAUUGAAUAAAAAUGUAUUUACUGAGA